CCGCUCUCCUCCACACCUGGCACGCGUCACAGCAGGGGCCACCAUCCCUGCAGCUGUCACCCUGCUGCGCCUUAGCACACGCAGUGUCACCCAUGGCAACAGUUUUGCUUGUCCGCAGCUUGAGGCGCAGCUCCCCCCAAACCCCUGCACCGAUCUCCUUGAAACUUGGCAGGCUUUGUGGCCUCAGUAAGACUUACCAGCCCUGCAGUUUUGAUGCUGUAACAGGGAACCCCAACCCUGUUACUAAGAGGCAGGGUAGCCCCUUUAAGUCCAGAAGCUUCCAGUCACGGCCGGCCGGUCAAGCAGGGGUUAAGGCUCAAGCCCUGCAGCCGGUCAGGUGACAGGAAGAGGAAGGCCAGCACCCUACAAAUGGCAAGUGGAGAAGGCCAGAGGGGCAGCAGGGAGGUGGACUCCCAAUGACUAUGGUGUUGUGGCUGCAGUCUCUGUUGGAAGACUACGCCAUGCCCUGAGCCAUCCUCAUGAUCAUCUAAAUGAGACACAGGAGCCUGAGUGGGAAAAGGCAUCAGAGACAUAACCCAGUCAAGGAAUCAUAAGAUGAUCUUUUAAGAUCAUAGCCCUGGAGACUAUUUCAGCAAGGUGUCUCAGGUUCUGCAAAUGGGAAUCUGAAGAGAGAAAUGUUAUGCAACUGAAAGAGAACGAAACACAGCUGCCUAUAAACAAGCAAGAAGGGGCAAGUAAUAGACUCAGGAAUGUGUGCUGUUGACCAGUAAUUAUACUCCUAUACUAUUAGAUUAGCAUGAGAAACUUGGCUGAGAUUCAGGACUGUUCUAAAAGCUUUAUAAACAGAAGGUGUGUCCUGCUUUUUUCAUUACAACCAGUUUAUUUUAUUACAUAAAUAAAAAAGGCCCUAUAAAGUACAUCUGCUUUUGUUCAACAGCAAACCACAAGCUGGCAAAGCAAGUUAAUGACUCUUUGCAUAACAGCCUGGCUAAGCUGAAGUGAAAGGCUUUUAAGUCAAACACCUCUGCGUACACAAAUAACAAUCAUUGGAAUCUAAUGGCUGCCAGGGGCUCUUCCAGGGCAACUGUAUUUCACAGGGAGAUGAAGGAAUAAGCAUAUAAUAUCUAAAAAGGGCAUGACCCUUCCAUUGAAGUAAAUGAGAAACCAGAUUGCUUAGCAUCUCAUAGGGUCAGAUCCAUCAGUUAUGAAGCAUUUUGAGAAACUUCAACAGCUAGCCGAGCCCUGAGGCACUUCCUCUGGCCAAACCAGAGAUUGUAAGAAGUAGAAGUUGUUGUCAGCCGUGGUCAUAGUGUCAGGGGUAUGACCAAGAUGUAGGCAGACAGACUUGAUCCUAGAGGUCACAAACCAGGAGAUCAGGAACCUAGAAGGUUAGAAAGGAAGGGUCCCAACUAGAGUCAGGGGAUCUGGAGCAAGCAGGUCAGGUAGCUGAGGUCUGUAAUGGACCAGGAUGUGGGCAGUCACCACAAC